ACCCUUACCAGGUCUUGAACUUUUUUUGCUAACCCAAGAGAUUAGGGGUUUCCCUUCGGGGACGAAAUAACAGGUGGUGCAUGGUUGUCGUCAGCCCGUGUCGUGAGAUGUUGGGUUAAGUCCCGCAACGAGCGCAACCCUUAUUGUCAGUUGCCAGCAUUUAGUUGGGCACUCUGGCGAGACUGCCGGUGACAAACCGGAGGAAGGUGGGGAUGACGUCAAAUCAUCAUGCCCCUUAUGACCUGGGCUACACACGUGCUACAAUGGACGGUACAACGAGUCGCGAAACCGCGAGGUCAAGCUAAUCUCUUAAAGCCGUUCUCAGUUCGGAUUGUAGGCUGCAACUCGCCUACAUGAAGUUGGAAUCGCUAGUAAUCGUGGAUCAGCAUGCCACGGUGAAUACGUUCCCGGGUCUUGUACACACCGCCU
rnacentral:rRNA from 1 species